GAUGUGUUGUAGAAUCAUGUUUGUUUGUUUUUUACAGGUGCUGUGUGGCGCUGAAUGAGUGGAUGGUGUUGUGGAUUUGAGGAUCAAGGUGCUGUGUGGCGAUGAAUAAGUGGAUGGUGCUGAAGAUGGAGAUCAAGAUAUGAUGAGGUGUGCUCAUGACUGCCUGAUGUGACGGUGAGGCUGGCAAGGUGGCGGACUGGACGAUCGGCAAAGGUAAGUGCUGUGUUGUGCUCUGAUGUGCAGGUGAAGCUGAUGUGUGUUCUAUGGGUGCAUGUUGUGUGGGUGAGUGUGUUGUUGGUUGUGCGUGUGGUA